UGGGGAAUAUUGCACAAUGGGCGCAAGCCUGAUGCAGCCAUGCCGCGUGUAUGAAGAAGGCCUUCGGGUUGUAAAGUACUUUCAGCGGGGAGGAAGGGAGUAAAGUUAAUACCUUUGCUCAUUGACGUUACCCGCAGAAGAAGCACCGGCUAACUCCGUGCCAGCAGCCGCGGUAAUACGGAGGGUGCAAGCGUUAAUCGGAAUUACUGGGCGUAAAGUGCACGCAGGCGGUUUGUUAAGUCAGAUGUGAAAUCCCCGGGCUCAACCUGGGAACUGCAUCUGAUACUGGCAAGCUUGAGUCUCGUAGAGGGGGGUAGAAUUCCAGGUGUAGCGGUGAAAUGCGUAGAGAUCUGGAGGAAUACCGGUGGCGAAGGCGGCCCCCUGGACAAAGACUGACGCUCAGGUGCGAAAGCGUGGGGAGCAAACAGG
rnacentral:rRNA from 1 species